rnacentral:rRNA from 1 species
GAUGAACGCUAGCGGCAGGCCUAACACAUGCAAGUCGAGGGAGAAGCCCUUUCGGGGGCAGAAACCGGCGCACGGGUGCGUAACGCGUAUGCAACCUACCUUUCACAGGGGGAUAGCCCGAAGAAAUUUGGAUUAAUACCCCAUAAUAUUAUUGGAUGGCAUCAUUUGAUAAUUAAAACUGCGGUGGUGAAAGAUGGGCAUGCGUCCUAUUAGCUAGUUGGAGUGGUAACGGCACCCCAAGGCUACGAUAGGUAGGGGUCCUGAGAGGGAGAUCCCCCACACUGGUACUGAGCCAGGGACCAGACUCCUACGGGAGGCAGCAGUGAGGAAUAUUGGUCAAUGGUCGGAAGACUGAACCAGCCAUGCCGCGUGCAGGAAGAAUGCCUUAUGGGUUGUAAACUGCUUUUAUAUGGGAAGAAUAAGGUGUACGUGUACAUUGAUGACGGUACCAUAUGAAUAAGCAUCGGCUAACUCCGUG